UGGGGAAUAUUGCACAAUGGAGGGAACUCUGAUGCAGCGACGCCGCGUGAGUGAUGAAGGAAUUCGUUUCGUAAAACUCUGUUCUAUGGGAAGAAAAGGACUGUACCAUAGGAGAAAGCUCCGGCUAAAUACGUGCCAGCAGCCGCGGUAAUACGUAUGGAGCGAGCGUUGUCCGGAAUUAUUGGGCGUAAAGGGUGCGCAGGCGGAAAUGCAAGUCAGGUGUAAAAGGCAGUAGCUUAACUACUGUAAGCAUUUGAAACUGCAUAUCUUGAGAAGAGUAGAGGUAAGUGGAAUUUUUAGUGUAGCGGUGAAAUGCGUAGAUAUUAAAAAGAAUACCGGUGGCGAAGGCGACUUACUGGGCUCAUUCUGACGCUGAGGAACGAAAGCGUGGGUAGCAAACAGG
rnacentral:rRNA from 1 species